GAAUAAAAAGCGAAGUUUGCUAUCGGUUUCGACCCGGUCUUUGGUUCAUAAAACCUUUAUUCU
rnacentral:tRNA from 1 species